CGCGAAGCAUGGCGAUGCGAGAAAUAUUACAGAAUUAUUCUCUCUAAUAUGAGUGAUUAAUAUUAUUUCGUAAUUAUUUAAUUUGUAUGUAAAACUUGUUUGAUGAUUAAAUAAAUCGUAAGGAUAUCGUGGCGACGAUUUUGUUAGAAGCAAAUAUUUCGCGCCUUUUAUUCACGUGAAGUAGGCAUUAUUAUUGACGCGUCACAUUAAUGCGUAGUUGCUGACGUCCGUCGUUCCGGAAUCACUAACGAAAUGCCGCGAACGAGAGACGAACCGCGGAGAUUCGCAAUGUAUUUAAUUAAGAGUAAGUCAUAAUUGCAAUCAUAUUUAAUAAUUUUCCAUUGCGUAGCAUGUAAAUCUAGUGUUUGGCCAUGUGCGACUCGUAUCGUUGUUUACGCGCUGUCAUCCUGUCAUACGCGCGCGCCGACAGUCGAGAACAAGUAGGUUAACAGAACGGUAUCGCAUCACAUUAAUUUUCAAGACGUUUUCGUGAAAAAUACUACGAUCAUGAUAUAUUGAUAUACUACAAGUGUGAUUAAUGAGUAUCAACCGGCAUUACUCAAUUUGAUUAAACGAAUCGCGGCGAUGGGUGUGUGUCGAAAAAAAUUCUUGUGCGGUUUAUUUGCUUGAAUAGAUAUUGACGCGAUCGGAAUUUAUAUAAAUUAUGGUAUAUAUUUCAUGAGUGAGUGUGUUAUAUAGUCUUAUAAUAAAUAUAACUACAAUAAUUGUGUGUUGUGUAUUAAAAUCAUAUUUUAAUCAUUUUCGAUCGUAUAACAUUUAAAUAUUUAUGCGACUAUCAAUUUGUUUAAACUUUAAACCUUAAAUCUCUGCUGUAUUCGCGCGCAUAUGAAAUUAGUCUCUAGAGAUAUCACUAGAGCGAUCGUGAAUAACUUCGUGCGCGUUUCCCGUGUUGGUUUCCCGCCAUAAUCAAGUGCGCGCCGCUUGCUAGUAAAAUCGGGAGUGAAAAGUGUCAUUAAUUAAUCGCGCUUAUUAAUUGUAUUCGAGUGCGCGCAUUGUAAUUGUAAUUAAUUGUUUUCACGAAUGAGUGUCACGAAGGAGCAACGAUGAAAUGAGAGAGGAGGAGGAGGAGAUCCGGAGUGGCAUCGGGCAACGGCGGAGUAAUCAGGAGAUGAAUGCUACAUGUAUAUAUGUGUAACUUCGCCGCUGCGCAUCGCAUAAAAGAAGAGCGUCUGCCUGCGAUGAUCGCCGAUACCUUCGUGGACCUCGCCCUCCAGAUAUCUGCACUCUCGAUCACCCUUAAGGACGCACGACUCGAAG